AACGAACGCUGGCGGCAUGCCUAACACAUGCAAGUCGAACGAGACCUUCGGGUCUAGUGGCGCACGGGUGCGUAACGCGUGGGAACCUGCCCUUAGGGUCGGCAUAACUCCCCGAAAGGGAUGCUAAUACCGGAUAAUGUCUUCGGACCAAAGAUUUAUCGCCUUUGGAGGGGCCCGCGUUGGAUUAGCUAGUUGGUAGGGUAAAAGACUCCUAAGGCGACGAUCCAUACAUGGUCUGAGAGGAUGAUCAGCCACACUGGGACUGAGACACGGCCCAGACUCCUACGGGAGGCAGCAGUGGGGAAUAUUGGACAAUGGGCGAAAGCCUGAUCCAGCAAUGCCGCGUGAGUGAUGAAGGCCUGAGGGUUGUAAAGCUCUUUUACCCGGGAUGAUAAUGACAGUACCGGGAGAAUAAGCUCCGGCUAACUCCGUG
rnacentral:rRNA from 1 species